GCAGAAGUGGUAGCAGGAGUAAACGGGGAAGGUCGGGUGUUUGGGAGUGAAUGCAGGAGCCUCUUGUAUAGAUAAUUUAGAGUUUUUUUUCAGAAGGCCAGAAUUGACAGAUGGAAGAGUGCAACAACAGUUGUGGUAAUAGGAGGGGAAACAGUUGUGGUUGGCUUAAAGCAACUCCCAAUGCAUCCCAGUGGCUGGGAAGUAAACCUAAUUGUGUGAAGCCACCUGACUUCUGAAUAACAUCUGCAGAAUUACACAUCAGAGACUGGAUGAGAGCUGCCAGUGGUAAAGCCAACACUUAUCGCCCAUCUGUAAUUGCCCUGAAAUCAUAAUGAACUACUUCAUGAAUCAAUGCAGUUGUUGUGGUGAAGGUUCACUCAAGGUCAAGCCUGGUCAUCAGAAGAACUGGUUUGAGAAGAUCCCCCUCCUGUAAAAUUGCAUAGCUUAAUGGAUUGCCAGUAUGCACAGUAUUCUACAGGCCGGAGUAUCUCACCUGCCUCAAUGACUUUUACACGUUUCUGCAAUUUGCCUAUACAUCUGUUCCUCUAAUUCCCACUGACUAUUCACAGGUCAACUUUAAAGGGAAAAAACACAAGGAAGCAGCCGUGACAUUGGUAUGUUCAGAAGAUGGCUUCAUUAAUAAACAAAAUAAUUUAGAACCAUUUCUGCUGGGUCUUCAUAUAAAUGCAUUAUAAAAAGGUCUUGACAUUUGUAGAGAGGACACCUAGUUGAGAGGUGCUGCAACAACCACCUCUCGCUCAACAUCAGCAAAACUGAAGAGCUGAUUCUUGACUUUAGGAAGGGGAAGGAGGGUGAACAUGCGCCAGUCUACCUUGGGGGAAAUCAGUGGUGGAGAGAGUCAGCAACUUUAAAUUCCUGGGUGUUAACAUAUCAGAUGACCUGUCCUGGGCCCAGCACAUAAGAUGCAGUCAUAAGGAAAGUGUGCCAGCACCUUCACUUUCUUAGGAGGUUUAGCUUGUCACUGAACAAACUUCUACAGGUGUACUGUUGAAAGUAUCCUGAUUGGUUGCAUCAUGAUCUGGUAUGGCAUUUGAAUACGCAAGAAGUUGCAGAGUGUAGUGGACUCUUCCCAAUACAUCAAGGAUACAUCCCUCCCCACCAUCAGUAGUAUCCACAGGAGGCGCUGCCUCAAGAAGGCAACAUCCAUCAUCGAAGAUCCCCACCAUCCAGGCCAUACCAUCUUCUCGCAGCUCCCAUCAGGCAGGAGGUACAGAAGCGUGAGGUCCCACACCACCAGGUUCAGGAACAGCUACCUCCCUUCGACCAUUCAGUUCAUGAAUCAACCAGCAAAACCCUAAUCACUAGUUUAGCAACAUUAUGGCCACUUUGAUCACUUUGCACUAAAAUGGACUUUGUUUGUUCUAACUGUAUUCUUUCUUGUAAAAAUUGUAUAAUUUGUUUUUCUUGUGAAUGCUACUUGUAUGAUGCUAUGUGCGUGUGAUGCUGCUGCAAGUAAGUUUCUCAUUGCACCUGUGCAUACAUGUACUAGUGCACAUGACAA